UGGGGAAUCUUAGACAAUGGGGGCAACCCUGAUCUAGCCAUGCCGCGUGAGUGAUGAAGGCCUUAGGGUUGUAAAGCUCUUUCAGCUGGGAAGAUAAUGACGGUACCAGCAGAAGAAGCCCCGGCUAACUCCGUGCCAGCAGCCGCGGUAAUACGGAGGGGGCUAGCGUUGUUCGGAAUUACUGGGCGUAAAGCGCACGUAGGCGGAUCGGAAAGUUGGGGGUGAAAUCCCGGGGCUCAACCUCGGAACUGCCUUCAAAACUAUCGGUCUUGAGUUCGAGAGAGGUGAGUGGAAUUCCGAGUGUAGAGGUGAAAUUCGUAGAUAUUCGGAGGAACACCAGUGGCGAAGGCGGCUCACUGGCUCGAUACUGACGCUGAGGUGCGAAAGCGUGGGGAGCANGCAGAAUUAGAUACCCUGGUAGUCCACGCCGUAAACGAUGAA
rnacentral:rRNA from 1 species